AAAAUGUCCAAUGUCUGUUCACUUUGAAUUUCUGGGGGAGAGCUUUGCUGGGGUAGACUGGUAUGAAUGGAAGUCGGGAGCCCAGACCUCUCUCUGGAGCUCAGGAGAGGAAUAUUUUCCUCUUUGUAUGGUUAGGAGCAUGCAGUUCAUGGGUGUGGAGUAGUACAAAAGUUCCUGGCAUGACACAGGACUCCACUCCCAUCGCUGCCAAUUUACAUGAUGUAAAAAUAAGAGUACAUGCAAGCUUCAUUUGUCAUCAGAGAGCAGAAGUUCCCUUACAGAGGAAAAAUGUGGAAGAAUAUCUGGAUACCGUGCAGCUCUGAGUCAACGCUGUUACUGCACUCAGCUGUACCUGCGGUUUUAUCAAGGAACAGAAUGAAGUUGGUUCUUUGGCAGGAAUGUUUACAUUUCCCAUGAAAACUGCUGAUUACCAUCUCAUUACAUCCCCGCUCUCCGUCUCCUUAUUAAUUGGUACAUACCACUUCAUUAUAGGCAGGUCAGGAGAAGCGUCAGAUGAACCAGCGUGAAACGACAUGAGCUGACCUCAGCCACACACUUCAAAUAUUGACACAGCACUGAUUUUCACCUUAGGAAUGGUCUUCUGGCCCAAUUCUAGACUCUCACAUUCCCACCUUGUGUGAGAACAGUCAUCUGAACAGCAAGCUCUUAAAACCCUGUCGUGCAAGUCCUCUAGACCUGCUGCUUUUAAAAUGUCACUUAUGCUGUGUAAUGUUCUUUUUUUUAAGUUGCUUGCAUGGGAAGCAUUUCAUCAUCAUUAUAUAAUGUGGAAACGACACUCAACUUUGUCCCAAAUGCAGGCAGGAAAUAUUUAUCAAACACUUCUGCUUUUUUCAGUUUCACAGCUAUCCAAAUACAUUUGGGUACACUGAGAGUGUCAGGAAUUGGACUCUGCUAAAACAUUGUUCAUCAAAUUAAGCAGGCUUCCAAAAAUCUUUGCUUUCAACCUGAUAUUUUCUGCCCAGAAGAGGUUGACUCUCUGGCUCUUUUAGAAGGGAUGUUGGUUAACUGGAUUAACCCCCCUCCCAGACAGACCUCUGUCCUGCUUUCAGCCAUGGGAGGCUUGUCUGCUUGUUUUUCUUUUCCUUGAACACCAGCACUUUUGGUACAUCUCCCGUGCCAAGGUCAAAUGUGCCUUUCUCCAGAACUGAGAUGUUCUUCCAAAGCUACGGCUUCAUGUCCCUUUUCCCCUGCUGCAAGCAGCCACAGAAUACCCUGCUAGCUGUAAAAGACAAGAAGUGGGGGCAAGGAGGGGUCAUUUCUGAGAUAUCACGUACCAUCUCUCUGAAGACAGCAUUGUUCAAUCGUACAGUUUUUUUCCCCUCUCUUUUUCUUUUGC
ensembl:lncRNA